GACAGCGGCUGCUCAUGCACACUGUCCUCGAGUGUCACGUCUGUUUACGUCUGUGUCAUUUGUUGUUGUUGUUGUUGUUGUUUUUGAACUUUAAGACGGAACUUUAGUUUUAAUCGAGAACACGAACUCUUGACUUCCACAUCCAGAGCGGAGGAGCGCACUGACGUCUAAACUUACACCGAGUUUGAGUUCACAUUUCUGGACACGCUUCAUGCUGGAGCCUGAAGCUGACUUCCUGUAAGGCCGCUUCACAGAGACUUCCUUGUGGCAAAGCAGGAGAGUCCACCUUCCUCGCACUGGAAGCUGGAGGUUGAAAACAAGAAUGCCUCUAAGAUCUUCCAUUCCUGUGAUACUUCUUGCAAUAUGUUGCCUCGCAGCUGCAGGGCCUUUGUCUCGCAGCCCGUGUGAGCUGCUGCCAGUGGGGAUGACACACCCGGUGCAGGCCUCGCUGAAGAGCUUCACCGCCCUGUCAGGCUGCGCAAGCAGAGGCACCACCAGCCUCCCGCAGGAGGUCCACAUCAUCAACCUGAGGGGACACGCUGCGGAGGCACCAGACAGGAGCCCGGCA